GGGGUAACAAUUCUUUGUUAUUUUUGUUCUAGAAAACAUCUGGAAGAGCAUCACAUGAAAUGAGAAUACACGUGUGGCUGGCGUGGGCUCUGACUGUUGUGCCGUGUCUCUGCUACGGGAUUGAAGUUAUUCAAGAGCCCAGGUUAUUAGUACUCCACGCCGAUAAAGAGGUGAUACUUCACUGCAGACACAAUGAUGAUAGCUACUACAACAUGCUCUGGUACCGGCAGAAACCGGGAGAGGGACUGAAGCUUAUGGUGUAUUCCGUAAAUGAGGGUUCUGAAGAUAUGGAAUCUGACUUUAAAGACAGAUGGUCCAUCAGAAGAAGACAUGUGCGGAAUUCCACUCUUUAUUUGCAGAAAGCACAGAGAGGAGACUCGGCUGUGUAUUUCUGUGCAUCGAGUACACAGCGUCACAGAGCAAAGGAACACCUGCCAAAAAAUCCUCGGGGCUGA